GGGGUUGUGGCUCAGCGGUAGAGCACUCACCUAGCAAGUGCAAGGCCCUGGGUUUGAUCCUCAGCACCA
rnacentral:tRNA from 1 species